rnacentral:rRNA from 1 species
GUGCCAGCCGCCGCGGUAAUACAGAGGGUGCAAGCGUUAAUCGGAAUUACUGGGCGUAAAGCGCGCGUAGGUGGUUUAGUAAGUCGGAUGUGAAAUCCCCGGGCUCAACCUGGGAAUUGCAUUCGAAACUGCUAGGCUAGAGUAUGGUAGAGGAAAGCGGAAUUCCAGGUGUAGCGGUGAAAUGCGUAGAUAUCUGGAGGAACAUCAGUGGCGAAGGCGGCUUUCUGGACUAAUACUGACACUGAGGUGCGAAAGCGUGGGGAGCAAACAGGAUUAGAAACCCUGGUAGUCC